UCCCUUCAGCAUUAGCAUUUUGAUGUUUCACGUUUUAGUUUUUCUCCACUUCCACCUCUUCUAAAGGCGUCGCCCACUUUUCCCCUCACGACUUCCGUUUUUGUUUUUCCUUUCAUAGCUUCCGUUUCGUUGCAGCAUAUAUUUCCCUGGCCGUUUCAUACCUUUCAUUUGGUUUUUCAUUCUCUUCUUUGGACAUGAUGCUUACAAGUUCUGGUGUAGGGCUUUUUCCUUUGCUGAAAUCAUCAAUCAAUCAGCUCUCGAAGGAGAAGGAGAAGGGGAAAAAAUCCACGUACAAAGAGCGCGUAGUACUGUUGUGAUUACGGCGAGAGUGAGACCAUAUGGCUUGGUCCUCACUGCUGCUUACUGUUGUAGGAGGAGCAAGCCUUUCAGAUGCACUAAGUCGAUGCUGCCUUUCUCUCUUUUUGGUUCGCUUCUCCUUGAUUCACUCACAGGUAACAACACCGUAGAAGAGGAUAAAGAUGUUUGGAAAUCCAAGUUCCAGACAAUUGUCCAGAAAUCAUUAUCUCUUCAUUUCUCUGUUGAUCUAGUGGGAACUGAGAUUAUGUAGUGAGGAUUAUUCAUGGUUUUCAACAAAAGAUGCGGCUUGGUUUCCUCUUCUUUUCAGGAACAGGGAUGAAGAAGAGUUGUGUGGUAAACAUGUUGCUUUUUGGCACAACUCAGCUCCCCAACCCAAGGCUUUGAACAAUUUACUGCCAUAUAUGCACUCCAUUGCCUAUUUGUUGCUUCCUUCGCAUUGGUUCCGCCUUUCUUCCCAACUGGAUCAUUCGAGUGAAAAGAAGAAGGAGAUGUAACAACUGCCUUCACCCUUGCAAGAAUGCUGUCAAAUAUUCUCAACAUUAUUAUAUGACAACUAGAUGGCUUUAUAUGGACUAGAUAGAAUAUGAGAAAUAUUGAUGUCAAAUAAAUAAGAGAAAAUAAAGCUUUCAUUAAUGAUCCUUUCAAUGUUUGGCCAUUAUCCAUUAUAAUCAAAUUCAGUUUGUGAAACCUCA